rnacentral:rRNA from 1 species
UUGUCUCAAAGAUUAAGCCAUGCAUGUCUCAGUACAAGCCAAAUUAAGGUGAAACCGCGAAAGGCUCAUUAAAUCAGUUAUGGUUCCUUAGAUCGUACCCACAAUUACUUGGAUAACUGUGGUAAUUCUAGAGCUAAUACAUGCAAACAGAGCUCCGACCGGAGACGGAAGGAGUGCUUUUAUUAGAUCAAAACCAAUCGGUGGCGAGUUGGUGACUCUGAAUAACUUUACGCUGAUCGCACGGUCUCGCACCGGCGACGCAUCUUUCAAAUGUCUGCCUUAUCAACUGUCGAUGGUAGGUUCUGCGCCUACCAUGGUUGUAACGGGUAACGGGGAAUCAGGGUUCGAUUCCGGAGAGGGAGCCUGAGAAACGGCUACCACAUCCAAGGAAGGCAGCAGGCGCGCAAAUUACCCACUCCCGGCACGGGGAGGUAGUGACGAAAAAUAACGAUACGGGACUCAUCCGAGGCCCCGUAAUCGGAAUGAGUACACUCUAAACCCUUUAACGAGGAUCAAUUGGAGGGCAAGUCUGGUGCCAGCAGCCGCGGUAAUUCCAGCUCCAAUAGCGUAUAUUAAAGUUGUUGC